UACGUAGGGGGCAAGCGUUGUCCGGAUUUAUUGGGCGUAAAGAGCGUGUAGGCGGCCUGGUAAGUCCGCUGUGAAAGUCCAGGGCUCAACCCUGGAAUGCCGGUGGAAACUGUCAGGCUCGAGUCCGGAAGAGGCGAGUGGAAUUCCUGGUGUAGCGGUGAAAUGCGCAGAUAUCAGGAGGAACACCAAUUGCGAAGGCAGCUCGCUGGGACGUUACUGACGCUGAGACGCGAAAGCGUGGGGAGCAAACAGG
rnacentral:rRNA from 1 species